AGGAGCCGUGUGCGUAAAUAGCGCAAGCACGGUUCUGUGAGGUUCCCUUCUACUCGAC
rnacentral:autocatalytically_spliced_intron from 1 species